AGAGUUUGAUCCUGGCUCAGGACGAACGCUGGCGGCGUGCUUAACACAUGCAAGUCGAGCGCUGAAGCCUUCGGGUGGAUGAGCGGCGAACGGGUGAGUAACACGUGGGUGACCUGCCCUUCACUCUGGGAUAAGCCUGGGAAACUGGGUCUAAUACCGGAUAUUCACUUUUCCUCGCAUGGGGGUUGGUGGAAAGUUUUUUCGGUGGGGGAUGGGCCCGCGGCCUAUCAGCUUGUUGGUGGGGUGAUGGCCUACCAAGGCGACGACGGGUAGCCGGCCUGAGAGGGCGACCGGCCACACUGGGACUGAGACACGGCCCAGACUCCUACGGGAGGCAGCAGUGGGGAAUCUUGCGCAAUGGGCGAAAGCCUGACGCAGCAACGCCGCGUGGGGGAUGAAGGCUUUCGGGUUGUAAACCCCUUUCAGCAGGGACGAUUGCGACGGUACCUGCAGAAGAAGCCCCGGCCAACUACGUGCCAGCAGCGGCGGUAAUAC
rnacentral:rRNA from 1 species